AUAUCAAUAAGCGGAGGAAAAGAAACCAACAGGGAUUGCCCUAGUAACGGCGAGUGAAGCGGCAACAGCUCAAAUUUGAAAUCUGGCCCCAGGCCCGAGUUGUAAUUUGCAGAGGAUGCUUUUGGCAAAGCGCUUACCGAGUCCCCUGGAACGGGGCGCCACAGAGGGUGAGAGCCCCGUAUGGUAGGACGCCGAGCCUCUGUAAAGCUCCUUCGACGAGUCGAGUAGUUUGGGAAUGCUGCUCUAAAUGGGAGGUAAAUUUCUUCUAAAGCUAAAUACCGGCCAGAGACCGAUAGCGCACAAGUAGAGUGAUCGAAAGAUGAAAAGCACUUUGAAAAGAGGGUUAAAUAGCACGUGAAAUUGUUGAAAGGGAAGCGCUCGUGACCAGACUUGCGCCGGGCGGAUCAUCCAGCGUUCUCGCUGGUGCACUCCGCCCGGCUCAGGCCAGCAUCGGUUUUCGCCGGGGGACAAAAGCUUCGGGAACGUGGCUCCCUUCGGGGAGUGUUAUAGCCCGUUGCUUAAUACCCCGGCGGGGACCGAGGACCGCGCUUCGGCAAGGAUGCUGGCGUAAUGGUCAUCAGCGACCCGUCUUGAAACACGGACCGAGGAGUCAAGCAUUAGUGCGAGUGUUUGGGUGUAAAACCCGCACGCGUAAUGAAAGUGAACGUAGGUGAGAGCUUCGGCGCAUCAUCGACCGAUCCUGAUGUUUUCGGAUGGAUUUGAGUAGGAGCAUUAACGCUUGGACCCGAAAGAUGGUGAACUAUACUUGAAUAGGGUGAAGCCAGAGGAAACUCUGGUGGAGGCUCGCAGCGGUUCUGACGUGCAAAUCGAUCGUCAAAUUUG
rnacentral:rRNA from 1 species